GGAAAAUCCUCCUCCAUUUGCCCAAGCCAUUAGAAAUUGGUUUGGCAGCAACUCAGAUUCUCCUUCGCUGUUUAUACUGGCUGUGGUAAUCUACUUGUCACCCAAUAUGCUUGCUGCUCUGCUCUUUCUUUUUCCCUUCGUUCGCCGAUUCCUAGAGAGAUCACACUACAAAAUUGUGAUGCUGAUGAUGUGGUGGUCACAGCCUCGUCUUUAUGUUGGUAGAGGAAUGCAUGAGAGCACUUUCUCAUUGUUCAAAUACACUAUGUUCUGGGUACUUCUAAUUGCGACAAAACUAGCAUUCAGUUUUUAUGUGGAGAUAAAGCCUUUAGUGGAACCAACAAAAAAAGUUAUGAAUGUCCACAUUACCACUUACCAGUGGCAUGAAUUUUUCCCCCAUGCAAGCAGCAACAUUGGUGU
rnacentral:misc_RNA from 1 species